rnacentral:rRNA from 1 species
UACGUAGGGGGCAAGCGUUGUCCGGAUUUAUUGGGCGUAAAGAGCUCGUAGGCGGUUUGGUAAGUCUGGUGUGAAAUCUCCACGCUCAACGUGGAGGGGCCACCCGAUACUGCCAUGACUGGAGUCCGGUAGAGGAGUGUGGAAUUCCUGGUGUAGCGGUGAAAUGCGCAGAUAUCGGGAGGAACACCUGUGGCGAAAGCGGCUCACUGGACCAUAACUGACGCUGAUGCACGAAAGCUAGGGGAGCAAACAGG